CGAUUUUGAACCUGCAAAUAAAGAAACGAAACUUUUUUCUGGUUUGUAUAUAACCAUAUAUAUCUUUGUUUUUAAUGAAACAGAUGCAAGAGAUUAAAUGGGUUAGGCCUUCAUUCUCUGGUACUAUCUAAAGCAUCUCAAAAAACGUUCGCUAUUAAGGCCAAGAACUGGUCCGAUUCUGCUCACCGGUUUUUGAAAGUCUGUGCCGAUGCCGGAAAUGUUGAAGCUUGUUACACUCUUGGCAUGAUUCGGUUCUACUGUUUACAUAACCGAGGGAGCGGUGCUUCUUUAAUGGCCAAAGCGGCGAUUAGCUCGCACGCGCCGGCACUCUAUUCUCUUGCGGUUAUGCAGUUCAAUGGCAGC
rnacentral:misc_RNA from 1 species